AACUGCUCAGAGGCAAACGGGUGGGCCCUCGAAAUCCCGCUGCCGGGGGAUUCAGUCGGAAGGUGCGGUGCGUGGAGUGAGCGUCCGACGGGCGUCUCCCGUGGUGCUGAUGCUCCGCCCGUGCUGCCCGACGCACUUCCUCCGGCACAGAGGACGCCGCAGCCGGUCGGGUAGAAGCGAGAGUCGGCCAUGAGGAACGUCGACGGCAGUUAGCGGAGGGCGCGCCUUGCGCGUCGCCUUCCGUCGCUAGCCGGGCGAUCCGAGGCGCGACACCCGACCGAGGAGAAGGGAACCCGCGAGGGUUCUUGCCGUGCACUCGCAACGCAGUUGCGAGCGGCGGACGGGGCAGGAGAACGAUGCUCGGACGGAACCACCCCACGCUUGGUGGCUCGUCUUGGAGUCGCUCCGUUAGCCCUGCGAGACCGCGACGCGAGCGCAGACGGCUGGCGGCGAGUAGGUCGGUCACCCACCCGACCCGUCUUGAAACACGGACCAAGGAGUCUAACAUGUGCGCGAGUCACGGGGUCUUGAACAGGCCCACGGGCGCAAUGAAAGUGAAGGUGACGGCCCCUGCGGGGGCAGUCGUCCUAGUUGGGAUCCCCGGUCGCACGGCCGGGGCGCACCGACGACCCGCGUCGUCCGAUUUAUCGGAGGCGUGGAGUCUGAGCGUACACGUUGGGACCCGAAAGAUGGUGAGCUAUGCCCGGGCAGGACGAAGUCAGAGGAAACUCUGGUGGAGGU
rnacentral:rRNA from 1 species